rnacentral:misc_RNA from 1 species
GCUUAGCCCUAAACAUUAAUAGCACAUCACACAAGCUAUUCGCCAGGGGACUACGGGCAUAAGCUCAAAACCCAAAGGACUUGGCGGUGCUUAAGACCCACCUAGAGGAGCCUGUUCUAGAACCGAUACCCCCCGUUCAACCUCACCCUCUCUUGACCCUUCCGCCUAUAUACCGCCGUCGUCAGCUUACCCUGUGAAGGAGCCAUAAUAAGCAAAACUGGCACAGCCUAAAACGUCAGGUCGAGGUGCAGCCCAUGAGAGGGGAAGAAAUGGGCUACAUUGAUUGCUUUAAUCAAUACGAAUGAUGCCCUGAAACAUGCAUCUGAAGGAGGAUUUAGUAGUAAGCAAAGAAUAGAGUGCUCCGCUGAAUCAGGCCCUAAAGCGCGCACACACCGCCCGUCAUUCUCCCCUGUCCAAUCCUUUUCAUAUAAUUAAUAUGCCCCCAUCCAUUGAGGGGAGGCAAGUCGUAACAUGGUAAGUGUACCGGAAGGUGUACUUGGGCAAACCAGAACGUAGCCAAAAUAGUAAAGCACCUCACUUACACCGAGAGAUUGUCCGUGCAAGUCGGAUCGCUCUGAACCAAACAGCUAGCCCACCCCCCUGAAACCAAAAACCAUUAUGAAUGCCCCCUAAAACACAAUCACAGACAUAAUCAAAUCAUUUUACCUCCUAAGUACGGGCGACGGAAAAGGAGCCCGGAGCCAUAGACAAAGUACCGCAAGGGAACGCUGAAAGAGAUAUGAAACAGCUCAGUAAAGUAACAAGAAGCAGAGAUUAAUACUCGUACCUUUUGCAUCAUGAUUUAGCCAGUACCCCCGGGCAAAGAGAACUUUAGUCCGCCCCCCCGAAACUAAGGGAGCUACUCCAAGACAGCCUAAUUGAGGGCCAACCCGUCUCUGUGGCAAAAGAGUGGGAAGAGCUUUGAGUAGAGGUGACAAAUCUACCGAACUUAGUAAUAGCUGGUUGCCUGAGAAAUGAAUAGGAGUUCAGCCUUCUAACUUCUCCCCUCACACGCUUUGACUCACCAGACACAAAGAAGUUAGAAGAGUUAAUCGAGGGGGGUACAGCCCCCUCGAACAAGAAACAACUUUUAUAGCCGGGUAAAGAUCAAAAUAAUCUAAGGAAACAUAUCUUAGUGGGCUUAAAAGCAGCCAUCUAAGUAGAAAGCGUUAAAGCUCAGACAUGCCCUCCCCCUUCCACCAAUACCGAUAACAGCAUCUAAACCCUCUGCCUCUACCAGGCUGUUUUAUGCAAACAUAAAAGCACCCCUGCUAAUAUGAGUAAUAAGAAAGGUCUAAAGCCUUUCUCCCAGCACGCACAUACAUCGAAACGGACCUUCCACCGAAUAUUACCGGCCCCAACCAAAGAGGGAAACGAGCAACUAACAAACAACCAGAAAAUCACCCCAAAAAAGACCGUUAAGCCCACACUGGCGUGCUCACUAGGAAAGACCCAAAGAAGAAGAAGGAACUCGGCAAGCACACUAGCCUCGCCUGUUUACCAAAAACAUCGCCUCUUGUAAACCAAAAAUAAGAGGUCCCGCCUGCCCAGUGACAAUAUGUUCAACGGCCGCGGUAUUCUGACCGUGCAAAGGUAGCGCAAUCACUUGUCUUUUAAAUGAAGGCCCGUAUGAAUGGCAUAACGAGGGCUAGACUGUCUCCUUUUUCCGGUCAAUGAAAUUGAUCUCCCCGUGCAGAAGCGGGGCUGAACCCAUAAGACGAGAAGACCCUGUGGAGCUUUAGACGCCAGGUCAGACCUAAUUCAACACCCCCCAAUAAAGGGAACAACCAAAGGAUCCUGUCCUAAUGUCUUCGGUUGGGGCGACCCCGGAGAACACAAAACCUCCACGCGGAACAGGAGAACCUCUCCCACAACCAAGAGUGGCUACUCUAAGCAAUAGAAUUUCUAACCAAAAGAUCCGGCAAAGCCGAUCAACGAACUAAGUUACCCCAGGGAUAACAGCGCAAUCCUCUUUCAGAGUCCCUAUCGACAAGGGGGUUUACGACCUCGAUGUUGGAUCAGGACAUCCUAAUGGUGCAGCCGCUAUUAAGGGUUCGUUUGUUCAACGAUUAAAGUCCU